CCCUGAGGGCGCUUCCUGUUAUUGACUCGCCUCGGAGAGAGCGCAGUUAACCCUGCUAACGCUUCUUUAUGGCUGAUAUUGCUCGUUAGUUAAACUACCCUAUUAGUUUGUCCGUUCUGCUCUGUUUAACUGUGUUUUUUGGAGAAACUGGAUAUAAAAGUCAGCUCAAAGAGAUAAGGAGAGGGAUGUCGUACUACUCCUCGUCAUCAUCUCGCGGGUCCUCCCGCAACUUGGAAUGCAAAGUGUAUGUUGGAGAUUUGGGCAGCGGAGCAGCUAAAGGCGAGCUGGAGAGAGCUUUCAGCUACUACGGCCCUCUGCGCAGCGUCUGGGUGGCGAGGAACCCACCCGGUUUCGCCUUUGUGGAAUAUGAAGAUGCCCGGGAUGCAGAGGAUGCUGUGAAGGGAAUGGAUGGAAAGGUUCUCUGCGGAUCUCGGAUUCGUGUGGAGCUGUCCACGGGUAUGUCCCGCAAGAGCCGAUACGGCCGACCAAGCCGCCGCCCGUUUGACCCAAGUGAUCGAUGCUAUCAGUGCGGAGACAGGGGCCACUAUGCCUACGACUGCUAUCGCUUCAGUAAAAGGGGACGCCGGAGCAGGUCCCGAUCUCGGUCCAGGUCCAGGUCAAGAGGCCGACGCAACCGCUCGCGCUCUCGAAGUCGCAGCAAUGACCGGAGAUACCGUUCUCCAUCUUAUUCGAAGCGCAAGAGCAGGUCUGGUUCUCCAGCCCGCUCUAAGUCUAGGACUCCGGUUCGGAGUCGCUCUCGAUCUCGCUCUCGCUCCAGAUCGGCCUCCCGCUCUCGUUCUCGAUCCAGGUCCCGCUCUCCCAGCCCCAAGAGGGACAGAGUGUGGGAGUCGACGGCUCAAGCACUGACCAGGGUUCAUCCUUGCCGUGUUAAGCGUCCUCCAGGAGGGUGACAAAAGAGCUUACCUGAGAUCAGCCUCCGCCACGGUGAUUUAAAGAGGUCGUCCGACGCACAAUUCUGACGAGACGCCUCCUGCGCGUACACAAACAGUUGUUCCACCCACCCCACUCCUAUCCCUGAACCCAUGCACUACUACUACUCCUACUACUGCAGACCAGAAUGCCCCCCUUCCCUCCAAAGCUCCGCCUUCUUGCUUAGCUUCUGAGAAGGGUGUGUGAGAGAGAGAGAGAGAGGAGAGAGAGCUGGCGAGAGAUCAGACUUCAAGACCCUCCGAGUGUGUCUUCGAGUUCUAGCAUCCGUCGCUUCUCUGUAUGUUGUUUCCGCCACUGUCUCCUAAAGCCGCUCCAGAUCCCCCAGCCAGAAAAACAGCCCCACCCCUGGAGACGAGCGGCAGGAGAAGAACCCCUAACCCAAAUGACUUCCCUUCCUUACCUUCUUAUCUCACUUAGCUUUCUUCUCCUCUACUUUCUGUCGUAUGACGUUUCGGUUUCAUUGAGUUUUCCUUUUUUUUUUUUUUGUUUCCCGUUACAUGAAAGUAGUAGCCGAGUAUAUUUUUGCUCUUUAAUUAUGCAUUUUUGUAUUUUUCUGUCUUACAUAGUGAUUGGAAUGAAAUGACAGUAGGUAUAAAAGGGCUAUUUUUUUGUUUUCACUCUUUUUUUUUAUUUUACCCCCCUGGUUGGUUUGUAGAUGUACACUGGAAACGAACAAAAACCGAAUAAAGAGUUCAUGGCAUGAUGUGAAA